rnacentral:tRNA from 1 species
GGUUGUGGCUCAGUGGUAGAGCACUUGUCUAGCAUGCAUGAGGCACUGGGUUCGAUUCUCAGCACCA